rnacentral:rRNA from 1 species
UAAAUGGCCGCAGUAACCUGACUGUGCUAAGGUAGCAUAAUCAUUUGUUUAAUAAAUUUAAACUAGAAUGAAAGGAAAAAAGUAUAUUAACUGUUAAUUACAAAUUUUUUGAAAUCCUUUUUAAAGUGCAAAAACUUUAAUUAGUAACAUAAACGAGAAGACCCUAAAAAUUUUAAUCUAUUUCGUUGGGACAAUACUAUUAUAUAAUUAUUAUAUGUCAAACAUUAACUAUACUAAUUAAUCAAAUAAAAUUACUUUAGGGAUAACAGCAUAAUAACUAUAAAGAGACCUAAUCUAAAUAGUUGCUUGUGACCUCGAUGUUGAAUCAUUUUAACAAAACUUGCAGAAGAGUUUUACCUAUCGUCUGUUCGACGAUUCUACAUUACGUGA